rnacentral:rRNA from 1 species
GACGAACGCUGGCGGCGUGCCUAAUACAUGCAAGUCGAGCGAAUCUUUUGGGAGCUUGCUCCCUUAAGGUUAGCGGCGGACGGGUGAGUAACACGUGGGUAACCUGCCUGUAAGACUGGGAUAACUUCGGGAAACCGGAGCUAAUACCGGAUAGUUUCUUUCUCGCAUGAGAAGAGAUGGAAAGAUGGUUUCGGCUAUCACUUACAGAUGGACCCGCGGCGCAUUAGCUAGUUGGUGAGGUAAUGGCUCACCAAGGCGACGAUGCGUAGCCGACCUGAGAGGGUGAUCGGCCACACUGGGACUGAGACACGGCCCAGACACCUACGGGUG